UACGGAGGGUGCAAGCGUUGUUCGGAAUUACUGGGCGUAAAGCGCGCGUAGGCGGCUCUUUAAGUCUCACUGUGAAAGACCGGGGCUCAACCCCGUGCGAGCAGGGGAUACUGGAGGGCUGGAGACCGGUAGAGGCCAGCGGAAUUUCGGGUGUAGCGGUGGAAUGCGUAGAGAUCCGAAAGAACACCGGAGGCGAAGGCGGCUGGCUGGGCCGGGUCUGACGCUGAGGUGCGAAAGCGUGGGGAGCAAACAGG
rnacentral:rRNA from 1 species